CCUACGGGAGGCAGCAGUGAGGAAUAUUGGUCAAUGGCCGAGAGGCUGAACCAGCCAAGUCGCGUGAGGGAAGACGGCCCUACGGGUUGUAAACCUCUUUUGUCGGGGAGCAAAGAGAGUCACGUGUGACUCAUUGAGAGUACCCGAAGAAAAAGCAUCGGCUAACUCCGUGCCAGCAGCCGCGGUAAUACGGAGGAUGCGAGCGUUAUCCGGAUUUAUUGGGUUUAAAGGGUGCGCAGGCGGAGGUGCAAGUCAGCGGUAAAAUUUCGGGGCUCAACCCCGUCGUGCCGUUGAAACUGGCGUUCUUGAGUGAGCGAGAAGUAUGCGGAAUGCGUGGUGUAGCGGUGAAACGCAUAGAUAUCACGCAGAACUCCGAUUGCGAAGGCAGCAUACCGGCGCUCAACUGACGCUCAUGCACGAAAGCGUGGGUAUCGAACAGGAUUAGAUACCCGAGUAGUC
rnacentral:rRNA from 1 species